rnacentral:rRNA from 1 species
CUAUGCGCCUUGCCAGCCCGCUCAGUCAGAGUUUGAUCCUGGCUCAGAACGAACGCUGGCGGCAGGCUUAACACAUGCAAGUCGAGCGCACUCUUUUAGAGUGAGCGGCAAACGGGUGAGUAACGCGUGGGAAUCUACCCCUCUCUACGGAAUAACACAGAGAAAUUUGUGCUAAUACCGUAUACGUCCCUUUUGGGAGAAAGAUUUAUCGGAGAUGGAUGAGCCCGCGUUGGAUUAGCUAGUUGGUGAGGUAACGGCCCACCAAGGCGACGAUCCAUAGCUGGUCUGAGAGGAUGAUCAGCCACACUGGGACUGAGACACGGCCCAG